rnacentral:lncRNA from 1 species
CGCUUCUCCAUAACGAUUGUUUAAAACCGAAGGAACAACACAAAAGCAGCAUAUAUCCUGAGAUGGUGAUAUCUAAGUCGAUGAUCCUUGAGCACAGUAAUGAGGAGACCUGUGUGGUCUGGGGCAGACAGUACACAUCAAGGUUUGUAGGACAAAUGGCUUGUGCUUGGCCUUCUUCUUUUUUUCAACUUCCUUUCCCUGAAAUGACAAACAGUGACAGAACUAGGAAGACCGAGGCUUCAGUUCACGGUUAUCGUCACAAAGAUGUGAGUUACAGGAAGUGGAUGCCAGUCACAGCUGGUGCAGGGCCAGUUGCAGAAGGAAGCUUUAGGGUACAACCUGAGUUUAAUUUUAGAGGAAAACAAAUACACAAGACAAAUACUUCAUGUUACCAAUUUCUCUCUUAAAAAAAAAUCAGUUACGAUUUUAAUGAAAUUGAAUGAGCUCUUCUUGCUCAGAGUAAAUAUGUGCUCAAAACCCAAAACAAAUCAGUCAUUUGAGAGAAAUUCUUUCCAUUUCUAAGCCUACAGAUUUGUUGACCACACCAUGUAGGCGUGGCUAGGGUCUCUGCCAGCAUAUCAGAAGGUUGAAAUCAAGGUGUUGGCUGAACUGAGUUCUCAUCUGGAGGCUGUAGGGGAAAAAAACCCUCCUUGAAGCUUGUUCUUAUUGUUGGCAGAAUUCAGUUCCUUGAGCUCUAAGACUGAGGACUGAAUGUUAUUUUCAUGCUGACUGUCAGCCAGUGGCUACAGGCUGCCCGAAUUCCUUGCUGUGUGACUUCCUCCAUCUUCAAGCCUGCAGUGGUAUGCUGAAUCCUCAUGCUCCAAAUUUCUGUCUCCCUCUUCUGCGAUGAGCCAGAGAAAACUCUUUGCUUUUAAAGAGCUCACGUGAUUCGGUCAGGCCGACCAGGAUAAUCUCUCUAUCUGAAGGUCAGCUGUGCUAUGUAAUAUAACCUAGUCGUGGGAGUAAAAUCCAUCAUAUUCACAGUCCUGGGGAUUAUACAGUGUGUUUACACUAAGCAUGGGGACCUUGGGGAACAUCUUUGAAUUCUGCCUACCACACUCAGCUUCAAGAGUUAUCAACCCAUGGCCCAUCUUGUUUCAUUUUGUUGCAGGAUGGGCUCCCUGGGAAGCAGGCUCUGAGAUGAAGCUUAGCUUGCGGGAAGUAUAGUGGGAGUGACUUGAGGAUCACCUUUGGGCAAGGGAGGAGAAGGAAGCAGGAUGGGGAAGAGGGAGCUCUGAAGCUGGGAUGGUCCUUCAAACGUGUCCCAAGGUGGGCAACUCUACAUGGACAAAACCCUGGAUGUGGGCUGCUCCAGGCAGGGGUUCACUGAGGGUCAGGUACUCCCUGAGGGUACUGACAGAGACAGGGCGUCUCUUGGCCACACAUCAGCAGGUGAGGGGGUAAACUUCUCAUUUCUGAUGGGUACAUGACAGCGAUUGCAUGGCACUGCCCUUCUAUACCCCUCUCACUUCCACUCAUCCAGCAACAUUUUGAAUUAAAUCCCAGACAUCAUAUUACUUCAUCUAUAAACAUUUCAGUAUGUGCCUUCAAAACACAAAGAACUAUGGUAUCAUUAUCUCACCGAAAUUAAAUUAAUAAUUCAUAUUAUAAAAAUGCAGCUACAGAUGGCAAUUAGACUUUGGGUGGUGAACCCAAGGUGGUCUACAAGAAAUUGAAAUAUAAUGAUGUACACCCGAAAUUAAAAAAAUAAAUAAAAAUGCAGGCGCUGGCCCCGUGGCCGAGUGGUUAAGUUGGCACGCUCCGCUGCAGGCAGCCCAGUGUUUCAUUGGCGCGGGUGUGGACAUGGCACUGCUCAUCAAACCACGCUGAGGUGGCGUCCCACAUGCCACAACUAGAAGGACCCACAACCAAGUAUAUACAACUAUGUACCAGGGAGCCUUGGGGAGAAAAAGGAAAAAAAUAAAAUCUUAAAAAAAAAAAAAAAUGCACUUAGUGCCAAAAUUUUAAAUUGUCUCAUAAAUGUCAUAACUUUCUCUCUGUCUGUUUCUCUGUAGUUUGCUUGUCUGGGGAACUGGAAUUGGCCACCCCAAGAUUUGUCUCUUUGGUAUGAGGAUUAUUUUGGGCUGGUUACUUUUAAAAACUGCAGACAUGAGAGAAACUCUGAAAAGCAGAAGUUACCCUUUGCAAGAGACAUUUAUUUGUAAGGGAAAUCUCCAUCUGUAGAGGUGUCUCCCUCUUUGUACCAGGAAGAAGGGGGGAUGACCUUAUCUCUAGAAACUCUUAAUCAAUGCAGAAGUCAAUGACGUAAAUCUGCAUACUAACCUGACUCCUGUUUACUGUGCUUUUCUGGUAAUCUCCCAUUACUGUCUCCUCCCACCCCCAACAUCCUCUUUUGUCUUUAGCUGAGGAUUGUAUUUAGGAUGGUGGCUUCUGCCAUUUUGGACCUGAGAGCCAUUCUUUGAAAUGCAAAUGUUUCGCAUAAACUAGUGAGUUUUGUAUUGCACCUGAUUCACAGCAAAAAUUUAAUGGAAGCUGUGAGGUCUCUGCCCG